UACGAAGGGGGCUAGCGUUGCUCGGAAUCACUGGGCGUAAAGGGUGCGUAGGCGGGUCUUUAAGUCAGGGGUGAAAUCCUGGAGCUCAACUCCAGAACUGCCUUUGAUACUGAAGAUCUUGAGUCCGGGAGAGGUGAGUGGAACUGCGAGUGUAGAGGUGAAAUUCGUAGAUAUUCGGAAGAACACCAGUGGCGAAGGCGACUCACUGGCCCGAUACUGACGCUGAGGCGCGAAAGCGUGGGGAGCAAACAGG
rnacentral:rRNA from 1 species